ACACUCCUACGGGAGGCAGCAGUGGGGAAUUUUGGACAAUGGGCGAAAGCCUGAUCCAGCAAUGCCGCGUGAGUGAAGAAGGCCUUCGGGUUGUAAAGCUCUUUUGUCAGGGAAGAAACGGUGAGAGCUAAUAUCUUUUGCUAAUGACGGUACCUGAAGAAUAAGCACCGGCUAACUACGUGCCAGCAGCCGCGGUAAUGCGUAGGGUGCAAGCGUUAAUCGGAAUUACUGGGCGUAAAGCGUGCGCAGGCGGUUUUGUAAGUCUGAUGUGAAAUCCCCGGGCUCAACCUGGGAAUUGCAUUGGAGACUGCAAGGCUAGAAUCUGGCAGAGGGGGGUAGAAUUCCACGUGUAGCAGUGAAAUGCGUAGAUAUGUGGAGGAACACCGAUGGCGAAGGCAGCCCGCUGGGUCAAGAUUGACGCUCAUGCACGAAAGCGUGGGGAGCAAACAGGAUUAGAAACCCUAGUAGUCC
rnacentral:rRNA from 1 species